GUCGAGAAUCUUCCGCAAUGCGCGAAAGCGUGACGGAGCGACACCGCGUGAUGGAUGAAGUCCUUCGGGGCGUAAACAUCUUUUAUAAAGGAGGAAAUUUUUGACGUUACUUUAUGAAUAAGGGGCUCCCAAUCUCGUGCCAGCAGGCGCGGUAAUACGAGAGCCUCAAGCGUUAUCCGGAAUCAUUGGGCGUAAAGGGUGCGUAGGUGGUUUGAUUAGUCUCCCGUUAAAACUUCGAGCUUAACUCGAAAAGAGCGGGGGAAACGGUCAAACUAGAGUAUGUGGGAAGUGUGUGGAACGCAUGGUGUAGGGGUGCAAUCCGUUACUAUCAUGGGGAACACCAAAAGCGAAGGCAGCACACUGGCACAUCACUGACACUGAGGCACGAAACCUAAGGUAGCGAAUGGGAUUAGAUACCCGAGUAGUCC
rnacentral:rRNA from 1 species